rnacentral:rRNA from 1 species
UACAUCUUGUGCGAGCGUUACUCGGAAUUACUGGGCGUAAAGCGUGCGUAGACGGUUACGUAAGUCGGAUGUGAAAGCCCCGGGCUCAACCUGGGAAUUGCAUUCGAGACUGCGUAGCUAGGGUGCGGAAGAGGGAAGCGGAAUUCCCGGUGUAGUGGUGAAAUGCGUAGAUAUCGGGAGGAACACCAGUGGCGAAGGCGGCUAUCUGGGCUGGAACUGACGCUGAGGCGCGAAGGCUAGGGGAGCAAACAGG